AAGACAAUACUUUUGGGCUCAUUUCUAUAGGUGGUUACCAGAGAAAUUUUUCAGAGCCUGUAGAGUUCUGAGAACCAAGUAGAGGCACCACCUUCUCUCUUGAGAGAGAGAAGCUGGCUUUGUUGUUGCUUAGCCACAAGUGCCAUUGCUAUUGAGGACCACUGUCCUUGGGGAGGGGGAAGUGAGGGGAGGGGAGGGUGGCAUCUGAAUGCC